CGUCUCCAGGGCAACCCUUACCUGGCGGCUGUUCAACGGCAACGCGGGCGUUGGACAGAGAACUUGGGGGUGGGGGCGCUGCGGCUGAGAGACGCCGAGAGAGACCAGAGACAGAGCCGCGAGGGCAGGCUGGAGAGACUGCGAGCGGACGAAACCGAGCCGGGCCCGGAAACCGGGACGGCGGACUCCAGGAGAGACAGUGACAGCCAAGGCUAGAGUGAUAGGAAGGACAAGAGGCUGCCAUUGUGGACAUAGCAGAAUCUGUCAGGGCUGGACAGGGGGAAGAGAUUCUGUUGAGAUGCUCAGGAAGACAGAAUGAAGACAGCUCCCCACCCACUGGUACUGGUAAAGGUACCCAUUGGUGACAUUGGCCUCUGCCAUACUGCCAAGCAGAACUGAAAGUCCAUCACUCUGCAUAUCAAGUUAGAGGUACUUUGGAGGUUCAAAGAGGGUAAGAAGCUAAUGCAGAUCUCCUAGGCCUUGGGGCUGGCCAUCUCCACUGUUGCCUCAAUCCAUGUCAACAAGGACAAGAUCUGGGCCAUUUCCCAGGUAGCCACUCUGGUCAUUGCCACAUACCUGACCCGUUGCCAGGGUAUGGUGAUGGGUCACAUGGAAUACCUGCUGAGGUGCAGAAUGAGGAACAAAAAUGGCAAAACCUGCCUAUCAAUAUGGUGCUCAUCUAGAACAAGGCAUGAUAGCUCUUGGCACAGCUGCAGAGAUAACAGGGCCAUGGGGCCCAGCUGAGACCUCUGGAGCCAGCAAUGGCUAGUUUGUCACUUCAAGGUACAUCACAAUAUACUGCUUAUAGAGGAACCAGCUGUAGCUGACACUUAGGCUACUGCCCAAUACCCUCCACACUAUCCUGGAUGAAGGCUGUUACCAUGUCAAAUGUUCAGUGUGGAUGAGAUGGGCUUGUUCUGGAAGUGACUGCCUGAGUACUCUGCUAGUGCAGGAGGAAGAGACCAUACCUGGAUCCAAGGCCUCUAAGGACCACCUGCCCAUGCUACUGGGUAGCAAUGCAGCUGGUGACUUCAAGCUGAAGCUCCUGCUGGUAUGUUCCUCAGAAAAUCUAUGUGCCCUCCAAGGCCAACCUACUUGUGGUGUGGCAUUCCAACUGCAAUGACUGGCUGACUCCCAGUAUUGUCCAGGAGUGGUUUACUGGCUGCUGUGGGGAGCUACUGUGCACGACAUGGCCUCCCACACUGCGCCAUCUUGUUCCUGGACAGGGCACCGUGCUACCCCUCCCACCUGGGUGGCCUUUCAGCCCAUGUGCAUGUCUAGUUCCUGCUCAAGAAUACCUCAGCCCUAGCCCAGCUCAUGAAUCAGGGUGUCAUUGCUGCAUUUAAGUCCCAUUAUCUGUGCUGCACAUUCAGCCAACUGGUCCAGGAGAUGGCUGGCAAGGACCAGUCCUCUGCACAGGACUUUUGGUGCAGCUAUACUGUCAUGACCACUGUGGACAACAUUGUGGAGGCCUGGGCAGAACUGCAGCCUGCUACCAUACAUAGUGCCUGGAGGAAGCACUUGCCUCAGUGUGUGCCGGCUGGUGCCCCUGAGCCUGAUGCCAUGCCCCAGCUCCUUCGCAGCAUUGUGGCACUGACCAGCCAUGUGGGCCUUGGGUAUGUGGCUGAGGUCAAUGUUGCUCACCUGCUCCAGAGCCAUGGGGAGCCCAUAUCCCAUCUUGUCCCUCAGGGUGUGGAGGAUGGAGUUGCCAGCAGCUCUUGCCUUCUUUAGGAGGCAGGGAAAGGCCUGGUUUCCAGAAGAUUAGAGCCAGAGCUCAGAGAGACCACAGAGGGUGUGGACACUGAGGAAGGUGGUGUGAGGGUGCUCAGCCACAAGCAUGUGGCCCAGGCUUUGUCCCACUUUGCUGCUGGCCUUUGGGUCCUUAUACAGAAUGACUCCAACAGGGAGCGCCACCUGCUGGUGUCCCAGCAUGUCCACAGUACCCUCACCCGCCUCUGGAAGCUGCACCAAGACAGACUACAGCAGGCUUGGGUAGCUGCAUUAGUAGGUCCUGUGGCAGUGGUCACAAAGGUGGUCACCCUAGAGGGGGCCUGCAGAGGAUGGGUGAGAAGCUAGGGCACAGGCCCAGCACAGAUCUCUACAGCUAUUCAGGCCAAGGCCUUCAGAUGAACUCUCCCUGGUGAUAUUUUGUGUGAGGAGGGUGGAUAUUGCCUCUCCUCCUCCCAUGGUUUUCACAUCUUAUUUGGUGUGGAUUUUCGGCAGUGACUCUUACAUUGCACCAGGCUUGGAGGACAGGAAAGUGGUGUUUUCUAAUUAGUGGGUAAACUACAUGGUCCAGGAGGGCCCUCCUAUGACACAGAAGCACCCAGGAGGCACAUUAGUUACCUCCUACCAUGGCCUUCCUUGAGGGC